rnacentral:rRNA from 1 species
AUUGAACGCUGGCGGCAGGCCUAACACAUGCAAGUCGAGCGGAUGAAGGGAGCUUGCUCCUGGAUUCAGCGGCGGACGGGUGAGUAAUGCCUAGGAAUCUGCCUGGUAGUGGGGGAUAACGUCCGGAAACGGGAGCUAAUACCGCAUACGUCAUGAGGGAGAAAGUGGGGGAUCUUCGGACCUCACGCUAUCAGAUGAGCCUAGGUCGGAUUAGCUAGUUGGUGGGGUAAAGGCCUACCAAGGCGACGAUCCGUAACUGGUCUGAGAGGAUGAUCAGUCACACUGGAACUGAAACACGGUCCAGACUCCUACGGGAGGCAGCAGUGGGGAAUAUUGGACAAUGGGCGAAAGCCUGAUCCAGCCAUGCCGCGUGUGUGAAGAAGGUCUUCGGAUUGUAAAGCACUUUAAGUUGGGAGGAAGGGCAGUAAGUUAAUACCUUGCUGUUUUGACGUUACCAACAGAAUAAGCACCGGCUAACUUCGUG